UACGUAGGGGGCUAGCGUUGUCCGGAAUCAUUGGGCGUAAAGCGCGUGUAGGCGGUCCGGUAAGUCCGCUGUGAAAGUCGAGGGCUCAACCCUCGAAUGCCGGUGGAUACUGUCGGGCUUGAGUACGGGAGAGGCGAGUGAAUUCCUGGUGUAGCGGUGAAAUGCGCAGAUAUCAGGAGGAACACCGAUUGCGAAGGCCGCUCGCUGGAACGUUACUGACGCUGAGACGCGAAAGCGUGGGGAGCGAACCGG
rnacentral:rRNA from 1 species